AAGCUUAGACCGGAGCUAAUCCAAGUCGGUUUCUAUCUGUGUCCCCUCUUCUUCAGUACAAAAGGACCAAGAAGAGAGCACCCAUACCACUAGCACGCGCCCCCGUGCACUCUAACUAUAAAACUAAAGAACAAGCGGCCCUAAAACGGCCCUAAACCAGGGCCAA
rnacentral:rRNA from 1 species